rnacentral:rRNA from 1 species
CCGCGGUAAUACGAAGGGGGCUAGCGUUGUUCGGAAUUACUGGGCGUAAAGCGCACGUAGGCGGAUUGUUAAGUCAGAGGUGAAAUCCCGGAGCUCAACUUCGGAACUGCCUUUGAUACUGGCAAUCUAGAGUCCGGAAGAGGUUAGUGGAAUUCCCAGUGUAGAGGUGAAAUUCGUAGAUAUUGGGAAGAACACCAGUGGCGAAGGCGGCUAACUGGUCCGGUACUGACGCUGAGGUGCGAAAGCGUGG